UGUCUUCGGGGCAGGGUGCAAUUCCCGAUUGGCGGUAAAGUCCGCGAGCGGUAAACGCAGGAUCCGGUGAGAUUCCGGGACCAACAGUAUAGUCUGGAUGAAAGAAGAU
rnacentral:ncRNA from 1 species